rnacentral:tRNA from 1 species
GCCGGAGUGGCGGAACAGGCAGACGCGACGGUCUCAAACACCGUUGAGGGCAACCUCGUACGAGUUCAAGUCUCGUCUCCGGCACCA